AACGAACGCUGGCGGCAUGCCUAAUACAUGCAAGUCGAACGAGAUCUUCGGAUCUAGUGGCGCACGGGUGCGUAACGCGUGGGAAUCUGCCCUUGGGUUCGGAAUAACUUCUGGAAACGGAAGCUAAUACCGGAUGAUGACGUAAGUCCAAAGAUUUAUCGCCCAAGGAUGAGCCCGCGUAGGAUUAGCUAGUUGGUGGGGUAAAGGCCCACCAAGGCGACGAUCCUUAGCUGGUCUGAGAGGAUGAUCAGCCACACUGGGACUGAGACACGGCCCAGACUCCUACGGAAGGCAGCAGUAGGGAAUAUUGGACAAUGGGCGAAAGCCUGAUCCAGCAAUGCCGCGUGAGUGGUGAAGGCCUUAGGGUUGUAAAGCUCUUUUACCCGGGAUGAUAAUGACAGUACCGGGAGAAUAAGCUCCGGCUAACUCCGUGCCAGCAGCCGCCGUAAUAC
rnacentral:rRNA from 1 species